CUGGCUGCGCUUGGGUGGAAAUCGGUUUGGAUUGCCCAGCCUUUUUGUGCACGAAUACGCUGCGCAAGGGGGAGCGCGUGACAGUUAA
ncrna:unclassified sequences L4-Archaeoglobi ribosomal protein leader